AGGGGUUCUCCGAGCUAAAGCAGAUUUCAGCCUGUCAGUCAGUGUUGUGACCAUUUCCUGUGAGAGAAUGAACAGACACUCCCACACCUCAUUUCAGCUUAGACUCUGAGCAAUAAGGAUCUUUCUGCAGCUCUGAUAUAGUGACAGUUUUAGGAGGAUAGGAACGAUUGUACAUCCGUACUGCUUCGGAAGGGAGCUGUGGAACACAGACACUUCUGGUCCCGGGCAACAUGGAGGAGUCGCAGCUUCCGGUUUAUAUACACAGCGCCGAAUACGUGGAAUUAUGUGAUAAUUUGCUGAGCAAAGUGCCCCGGAGGGCCAGCAUGGUGCACUCAUUAAUCGAGGCAUAUGGGCUGCUCAAAGAGAUGAGGGUAGUAAAGCCAAAAGUUGCAUCUAUGGAAGAGAUGGCUGCCUUUCACACUGAUGCAUAUCUCCAGCAUCUACAUAAAGUCAGUGAGGAAGGCGACAAUGAUGAUCCUGAAACACUUGAAUAUGGACUAGGUUACGACUGCCCCAUUACUGAAGGAAUAUAUGACUAUGCUGCUGCUGUGGGGGGAGCCACUUUAACUGCUGCUGAACAGCUUAUAGAGGGCAAAACUCGCAUUGCUGUCAACUGGCCUGGUGGUUGGCAUCACGCAAAGAAAGAUGAAGCUUCUGGAUUCUGUUACCUUAAUGAUGCUGUCCUGGGUAUUUUGAAACUGCGGGAAAAAUUUGACCGGGUUUUGUACGUAGAUAUGGAUUUACAUCAUGGUGAUGGGGUUGAAGACGCUUUUAGCUUCACUUCAAAAGUAAUGACUGUUUCUCUCCAUAAAUUUUCCCCUGGAUUUUUUCCUGGCACUGGUGAUGUAAGUGACAUUGGCCUGGGUAAGGGACGUUACUACAGUAUUAAUGUGCCAUUACAAGAUGGAAUACAGGAUGAUAAAUAUUACCAAAUCUGCGAAGGUGUCCUAAAAGAGGUUUUCACAACUUUUAACCCUGAGGCAGUUGUCCUGCAGUUGGGAGCAGAUACAAUAGCCGGGGAUCCCAUGUGUUCUUUUAACAUGACCCCAGAGGGGAUUGGAAAGUGCCUAAAAUAUGUUCUACAGUGGCAGCUUCCAACACUCAUACUGGGAGGAGGGGGCUACCAUCUCCCAAACACAGCUCGUUGCUGGACAUACUUGACCGCACUUAUAGUUGGCAGGACUUUAUCUUCUGAAAUCCCAGACCACGAGAUAUGCGUAUUACUGUCUAUUCCCAGUUCUUCACAGAAUACGGACCUGACUAUGUAUUAGAGAUUACACCGAGCUGUCGGCCUGACCGCAAUGACACUCAGAAGGUUCAGGAAAUCUUACAAUCAAUUAAAGGUAACUUGAAACGAGUGGUUUAACGUGAGGUUCCCUACAGAGACGGUGGUUUUUCCUAUUGUUUCUCAGUCCACUGAAGCAUACUUUGCACAUAAAAACCAAGUGCAGUGUUGUCUGUGCAUAUAGGGUGCCACUGCAUAGCAACAUGUCUUGCUACACUCACCUCCACAUUCCUCUACUGUGUGUCCUUUGUGCUCCAAGAAAAAAAAUAUAUAUAUUUUUUUUUUUAACUUGUUGCUUUUAACUGUUGUUUUUAAAUGAAUAUUAAACCAUUGUUUAUAAA